UAACGCGUGGGUAACCGUGCCUCAUACAGGGGGAUAACAGUUGGAAACGACUGCUAAUACCGCAUAAGCGCACAGGAUCGCAUGAUCCGGUGUGAAAAACUCCGGUGGUAUGAGAUGGAUCCGCGUCUGAUUAGCCAGUUGGCAGGGUAACGGCCUACCAAAGCGACGAUCAGUAGCCGACCUGAGAGGGUGACCGGCCACAUUGGGACUGAGACACGGCCCAA
rnacentral:rRNA from 1 species